rnacentral:lncRNA from 1 species
UCUUUUGUGACUUAGCACCAGACUUGUAUUUUCCAAUCUUAGAAUAAAGUUCCAAGUAGCUAUUAUCCUCAUCAAAGAUCUCUUCCAACAGAUCCCCACAAAGAUUCUGAAUCUCUCUACUUUCUACUUCUUCUAUCUCCUCAUCCUCCUUAACACUAUCCAGAUUUUUUUCACUUUGGUUAUCAAAAUCUGUAUGUUGAUCUAACAAUCUGUUCUCUACUGAAAGAAUUUCUUUUACCACCCUUUCCAUAUCCUUUUCACUUUCUCCCAAUCUAACACCUAAUUGACUAACAUUACUAACAGCAUUAUUCAAAAGAAAUGGAAAGCAAUGUUCAGUCUCAGUGUUACCUUCAUUGAGCUCCAGAUUCUUUCGGGCUGCAAUCUUCUCUGUCUUGGUUAGGAUGUGCUAAUCUACUGAAUUAACCAAUCUAGGACUUGCCCUUGUUGGUGUUAUUACAGCCUCAUGAAUUGCAGCCAUCUUCUUCAAGUCAUCUGUUUCCCCUGCUUCUUCCCAACUACUUUCCCCCUCCUGGUCUUCAUUUUUAUCAUUCAUAACUUGAUUUGAUAAGUCAUCCAACGUUUUAUCUACUGCUCUAUCCAUUAUUUACUCAGCCUUCUCCUU